UCUACCGAACGAAAAUUAGGGACAUCGCUAUGAGAAGAAACGUUGACAUUGUCGCCUAUGGGAAAACAAUUAGUGGACUGUACCCAUAUUAGGAAGCCUAUAAGUUCAUGGUGAUUGGUACAGGAAAAACAUGAGGUCCAUGCAGAUGGUGUUUAAAACUAUUGGCCAGCAAAUGCACACCCAUUUGAAUACAUCUUGAAAAAGAACCAGCAAAAUGUGACAGUCGGCAAAAUAUAGGUUCCCGCAGACAGACGCAUUUUGCCAGAAAACGAAUCUGACAUGCCACCUCGAGAUUUUAACCAAGGAAAGACAAGUUGAUGUGCUUUGAAUUGAGGGGUCACUCACUACCGAACGAAAAUUAGGGACAUCGCUAUGAGAAGAAACGUUAACAUUGUCGCCUAUGGGAAAACAAUUAGUGGACUGU